UACGAGGGGUCCAAGCGUUGUUCGGAAUCACUGGGCGUAAAGCGUGCGUAGGCGGGUCUUUAAGUCAGAUGUGAAAUCCCCGGGCUUAACCUGGGAACUGCGUUUGAAACUACAAGGCUAGAGUGUGGCAGAGGGGGUGGAAUUCUACGUGUAGCAGUGAAAUGCGUAGAGAUGUGGAGGAACACCGAUGGCGAAGGCAGCCCCCUGGGUUAACACUGACGCUCAGGCACGAAAGCGUGGGGAGCAAACAGG
rnacentral:rRNA from 1 species